rnacentral:rRNA from 1 species
UACAUGGGGUGCAAACGUUGCUCGGAAUUAUUGGGCGUAAAGCGCACGUAGGUGGUCGCUUAAGUCGGAUGUGAAAGCCCUCGGCUCAACUGAGGAAGUGCAUCCGAAACUGAGUGGCUUGAGUAUGGAAGAGGGUCGCGGAAUUCCCGGUGUAGAGGUGAAAUUCGUAGAUAUCGGGAGGAACACCGGUGGCGAAGGCGGCGACCUGGGCCUGCACUGACGCUCAUGCACGAAAGCGUGGGGAGCAAACAGGAUUAGAACGUACCUUGAUCAGUCCAGUAC